UACGGGGGGGGCAAGCGUUGUUCGGAAUUACUGGGCGUAAAGGGCUCGUAGGCGGCCAACUAAGUCAGACGUGAAAUCCCUCGGCUUAACCGGGGAACUGCAUCUGAUACUGGAUGGCUUGAGUUCGGGAGAGGGAUGCGGAAUCCCAGGUGUAGCGGUGAAAUGCGUAGAUAUCUGGAGGAACACCGGUGGCGAAGGCGGCAUCCUGGACCGACACUGACGCUGAGGAGCGAAAGCCAGGGGAGCAAACGGG
rnacentral:rRNA from 1 species